CAGGCACAAAGCAACACUUCCAAUGCUUCCUCACAGGCCAAAAGCAACAUAUCAUCUACCAGUUCCAAGUCUUAAAAGAGAAAUGACAUAGCAAGGAUUACCCUUCAAGCAAGUUAAAUUCUGUAUUAUAAGGGAAAACAGAUUGUAGUUUGUCAUUUCUAGUCGUUUUUGCUGACAUGUAUGGUUUUAUAUUCAAUCAAAGGCCAGCUUUACAAUAUCAACUGGCCAACUAUGAUUAUUACAGUAGUAAGUUUCUUAUUAUGUUAUAUCCAACAGAGUAAGAUUUAGAAAUAGAAUUGGAAUCCUCUUUUUGUUUUUUUUUUUUGGUUGAAAUCUAUACUUCUCAGCAUUAAGAUUUAUAGUGAACGCUUGGAUUAUGUUCGAGAUAAAAUAGAAGCAAUGACGUUUGAAUAAUGCUAAAAAG
rnacentral:lncRNA from 1 species